rnacentral:rRNA from 1 species
UACAGAGGUCCCAAGCGUUGUUCGGAUUCACUGGGCGUAAAGGGUGCGUAGGCGGUCGGGUAAGUCUGAUGUGAAAUCUCACAGCUUAACUGUGAAACUGCAUUGGAUACUAUCCGGCUCGAGGAAUGGAGGGGAGACUGGAAUACUUGGUGUAGCAGUGAAAUGCGUAGAUAUCAAGUGGAACACCAGUGGCGAAGGCGAGUCUCUGGACAUUUCCUGACACUGAGACACGAAGGCCAGGGGAGCAAACGGG